AAUACCAGCUCUCCGAGUGGUGUGGACGUUUAUUGGGCCUAAAGCAUCCGUAGCUGGCUGAACAAGUCCCCUGUUAAACCCACCGAUUUAAUCGUUGGUCUGCGGGGGAUACUGCUCGGCUAGGGGACGAGAGAGGCAGACGGUAUUCCCGGGGUAGGGGUGAAAUCCUAUAAUCCCGAGAAGACCACCAGUGGC
rnacentral:rRNA from 1 species